GACGGGACCCGCACAAGCGGUGGAUGAUGUGGUUUAAUUCGAUGCAACGCGAAAACCUUACCUACCCUUGACAUGUCAAGAAUUUGCAGAGAUGUGAAAGUGCUCGAAAGAGAACUUGAACACAGGUGCUGCAUGGCCGUCGUCAGCUCGUGUCGUGAGAUGUUGGGUUAAGUCCCGCGACGAGCGCAACCCUUGUCAUUAGUUGCUACGCAAGAGCACUCUAAUGAGACUGCCGGUGACAAACCGGAGGAAGGUGGGGAUGACGUCAGGUCCUCAUGGCCCUUAUGGGUAGGGCUACACACGUCAUACAAUGGCCGGUACAGAGGGCUGCCAACCCGCGAGGGGGAGCCAAUCCCAGAAAACCGGUCGUAGUCCGGAUCGUAGUCUGCAACUCGACUGCGUGAAGUCGGAAUCGCUAGUAAUCGCGGAUCAGCUUGCCGCGGUGAAUACGUUCCCGGGUCUU
rnacentral:rRNA from 1 species